UUGCAAUAUCAAACCUGGGCUGUGGGGACGCUGUUUGCAAUGGCUGCAAACAGCAGCCUCCUUGGUGGUAUAUUUUGCCUGUGCAGGUUGUGCUAAGGAACCCUGGAGACGGUU
ensembl:snoRNA SNORA70 Small nucleolar RNA SNORA70